UACGGAGGAUGCAAGCGUUAUCCGGAAUGAUUGGGCGUAAAGCGUCCGCGGGUGGCUAUGUAAGUCUGCUGUUAAAGAGUGAGGCUCAACCUCAUAAAAGCAGUGGAAACGACAUGGCUAGAGUGCGUUCGGGGCAGAGGGAAUUCCUGGUGUAGCGGUGAAAUGCGUAGAUAUCAGGAAGAACACCGGUGGCGAAAGCGCUCUGCUAGGCCGCAACUGACACUGAGGGACGAAAGCUAGGGGAGCGAAUGGG
rnacentral:rRNA from 1 species